GGCUGGUCCAAGCACAGUAGUGUUUAUAGCUAAUUGAACAUAACCAAUUACAUAUUUCUUUGUUCCUUCUCCACUCCCACUGUGCUUCACUUGACUAGGCUAAA
ensembl:misc_RNA Y_RNA Y RNA